rnacentral:rRNA from 1 species
GAUGAACGCUGACAGAAUGCUUAACACAUGCAAGUCGACUCGAGUCUUCGGACUUGGGUGGCGCACGGGUGAGUAACGCGUAAAGAACUUGCCUCUUAGACCGGGACAACAUCUGGAAACGGAUGCUAAUACCGGAUAUUAUGGUUUUUUCGCAUGGAGGAAUCAUGAAAGCUAGGUGCGCUAAGAGAGAGCUUUGCGUCCCAUUAGCUGGUUGGUGAGGUAACGGCCCACCAAGGCAAUGAUGGGUAGCCGGCCUGAGAGGGUGAACGGCCACAAGGGGACUGAGACACGGCCCUUACUCCUACGGGAGGCAGCAGUGGGGAAUAUUGGACAAUGGACCACAAGUCUGAUCCAGCAAUUCUGUGUGCACGAUGACGUUUUUCGGAAUGUAAAGUGCUUUCAGUCGGGAAGAAGUCAGUGACGGUACCGACAGAAGAAGCGACGGCUAAAUACGUGCCAGCAGCCGCGGUAAUACGUAUGUCGCAAGCGUUAUCCGGAUUUAUUGGGCGUAAAGCGCGUCUAGGCGGCAAGGAAAGUCUGAUGUGAAAAUGCGGAGCUCAACUCCGUAUGGCGUUGGAAACUGCCUUACUAGAGUACUGGAGAGGUAGGCGGAACUACAAGUGUAGAGGUGAAAUUCGUAGAUAUUUGUAGGAAUGCCGAUGGGGAAGCCAGCCUACUGGACAGAUACUGACGCUAAGCGCGAAAGCGUGGGUAGCAACAGG